rnacentral:rRNA from 1 species
GCCUUAGUACGGCGAGUGAGCGGCAAAAGCUCAAAUUUGAAAUCUGGUACCUUCGGUGCCCGAGUUGUAAUUUGGAGAGGGCAACUUUGGGGCCGUUCCUUGUCUAUGUUCCUUGGAACAGGACGUCAUAGAGGGUGAGAAUCCCGUGUGGCGAGGAGUGCGGUUCUUUGUAAAGUGCCUUCGAAGAGUCGAGUUGUUUGGGAAUGCAGCUCUAAGUGGGUGGUAAAUUCCAUCUAAAGCUAAAUAUUGGCGAGAGACCGAUAGCGAACAAGUACAGUGAUGGAAAGAUGAAAAGAACUUUGAAAAGAGAGUGAAAAAGUACGUGAAAUUGUUGAAAGGGAAGGGCAUUUGAUCAGACAUGGUGUUUUGUGCCCUCUGCUCCUUGUGGGUAGGGGAAUCUCGCAUUUCACUGGGCCAGCAUCAGUUUUGGUGGCAGGAUAAAUCCAUAGGAAUGUAGCUUGCCUCGGUAAGUAUUAUAGCCUGUGGGAAUACUGCCAGCUGGGACUGAGGACUGCGACGUAAGUCAAGGAUGCUGGCAUAAUGGUUAUAUGCCGCCCGUCUUGAACCACGGACCCA